AUGGACGGCCCGGUGGCAGCGCGCGUCGUUCGGGACGACGAGACCGGAGGUUCAAAUCCUCUCACCCCGACCA
rnacentral:tRNA from 1 species